UACGUAGGGGGCUAGCGUUGUCCGGAUUUAUUGGGCGUAAAGAGCGUGUAGGCGGCCAGGUAGGUCUGCUGUGAAAACUCGAGGCUCAACCUCGAGACGUCGGCGGAAACCAUCUGGCUAGAGUCCGGAAGAGGAGAGUGGAAUUCCUGGUGUAGCGGUGAAAUGCGCAGAUAUCAGGAGGAACACCGGUGGCGAAGGCGGGUCCCUGGGCCGAUACUGACGCUGAGGAGCGAAAGCGUGGGGAGCGAACAGG
rnacentral:rRNA from 1 species